rnacentral:ncRNA from 2 species
CAAUUACCAAAGGGGUGCCGAGCUUUUUAUAAGCGAAGGCUGAGAUACGUAGUGAACUCUUUGUACCUGAUCCGGUUAAUACUGGCGUAGGGAUUGGUAAUCAGCACCCA